ACGAUCCUACUUGCACUAAUGCACCUAAUUCCAUCAGAACUCUGCAGUUAAGCGUGCUUGGGUGAGAGUAGUACUAGGAUGGGUGACCGCCUAGGAAAGUCCUUGUGUUGCACCCA